CGUUACUCCUGGUGUUAAGUAUAGCGAAUUCAGAAUUACAAUGUUUAAUUGCUUGCCUGGCAACUACGUCUCAAGAGGUAAAAGUCGAAGUACUUGGCGGUCUAGUGAUGAACCAGCCCGUGAGACUUGACGGUUAAUCCGAUGAUCCGCGCAAAUUCUACUCUUUCUUGAAUUCUCAGUUGGUGUAUGGCCGUCGAGUGCUUCUUUGAGGGAGUUGCAAGAUCCAUAUAGUUUUUUUUCUGCAGAUCUGUGCGGAAACUGUUUAUCUACAGGCUUGUAGUGGACGAGUGGAAUAAGUCAGGUCGUCAUACCGCUCACGAAGGAGGCUUAGUUGAGUCACAUUGAUUAAAUCAAGCGGAACCGAGGAAGGAAGUAGCCCGGGGAAGAAGUAAUGGGUAGUAAUAAGAGAAUAAUUCGCUCUUAUGAAUCGUUGAACUCCUAGGUGUACAAAUCGCC
rnacentral:rRNA from 1 species